rnacentral:lncRNA from 1 species
GAGAUUUUCUUUCUCCCCCUCAAUUGAUCAUUCCAUUUAAGAGUUUAAAAUUUGAAGAUAAUGUUCAAUAAAAUUGUCAAUCUCAAAAAAAAUAUAUUUUCUAUAAGUUUCAGCUUAUUUUCAUAAGACUCAAUGUUUGAGAUAAGACAACCUUUAUAGAACUCAUCACAAGGUAUAAACUUAUUAUAUAAUUAAGGCAAGUCUUGCAAUAUAAGGAGGUUCAUCAAAAUCAAUCCAUAAAAAUCAAGGUAUGAGAUACUGAAUAUCUAAAGCUCCCCCUCAAAAGAUGCAUUCUUCUUUAAUCAUUCUUUUCUAUGAUAUCGAGAAUGUAGAGUGAUCUAGAAUUAUUCAAAAUUUAUAGCAAUCACUCUUUUUAAUCUUUCAAGAACAAGUUAUGCUUUCUCUUAAUCUUUGAGAAAAUGUACUGAAAUAUUAAUCAGAAAAUGAUUCAUUUGAAGCUCAAAUUCUUUUAAAAGCAUUUACAUUUUCUUUCUUUUAAGAAUCAUUUGAGUGAGCUGAAAUGUUUCUAGACUUAAGAUCAUUCACUCUCUUAAUAAUAUAUAUAUAU